rnacentral:lncRNA from 1 species
AUUUUCAAAAAUCUUAAAAUCAACCUAACCCACCAAAGAAAUUUUUUAGUGGAACUACGUCGGUUUUGAUCCCUUUCCCAAAAGGGUACGUAGGCAGAGGACUUGUCCUUCCAAAUCAAAUAAAAAUAACCAAAAACAUACUCCUUCUCCCUCCAUUCUUUCACUUAGAUUUUUAGGUAAUAAUUUUUCAAGUAAGCCAAAUGAAUUUAGCACAAGAUAAUCUAGGUAAGCGGUUCCUUCGGAGUACCGAAGUCGUUUAGGGUGCUUAACACCUUCCCUAUUCGAAACCAACCCCCGAAUCCAAAGUCU